rnacentral:rRNA from 1 species
CAGCCCCCCGAGUGGUAGGGAUGUUUAUCUGGCCUAAAGCGUCCGUAGCCGGUUUGGUAAAUCUCUCGUUAAAUCCAACGUCCUAAGCGUUGGGCUGCGAGGGAGACUGCCAAGCUAGAGGGUGGGAGAGGUCAGCGGUAUUCCUGGGGUAGGGGCGAAAUCCUUUGAUCCCAGGAGGACCACCAGUGGCGAAGGCUGCUGACUAGAACACGCCUGACGGUGAGGGACGAAAGCUGGGGUAGCGAAUCGGAUUAGAUACCCGAGUAGUCC